GAGGAAGUAAAAGUCGUAACAAGGUUUCCGUAGGUGAACCUGCGGAAGGAUCAUUAUUGAAAUAAACCUGAUAAGUUGUUGCUGGCUCUCUAGGGAGCAAUGUGCACGCUUGUCAUCUUUAUAUUUUCACCUGUGCACCUUUUGUAGACUUGAUUAUCUCUCCGAAUGCUUUUAUAGCAUUUGGGAUUGAGAAUUGACUUAAUUGUCUCUUUUUAUAUUUUCAGGUCUAUGUUUUUUCAUAUACCCUAUGUAUGUUUAUAGAAUGUAAUUAAUGGGCCUUUUGUGCCUAUAAACUUUACAACUUUCAGCAACGGAUCUCUUGGCUCUCGCAUCGAUGAAGAACGCAGCGAAAUGCGAUAAGUAAUGUGAAUUGCAGAAUUCAGUGAAUCAUCGAAUCUUUGAACGCACCUUGCACCCUUUGGCAUUCCGAAGGGUAUGCUCGUUUGAGUGUCAUUGUACUCUCACUCUCCCGAUACUUUUGGAUCGGGAGUGGUGGACUUGGGUGCUGCUGCUUAACUGUGGCUCGCCUUAAAUGAAGUAGUGCAACUCUCGGUUGGACAUAGUACGGCGUGAUAAGUGUCUUCGCCGGCGCCUCAUUCGAGGGUGGCCGAUCGGGAGCUCUGUGCUUCAAACUGUCUUCGGACAACAUCUGACAACUUGACCUCAAAUCGAGUAGGACUACCCGCUGAACUUAAGCAU
rnacentral:rRNA from 1 species